rnacentral:lncRNA from 1 species
AUGGGGAAAGUUCACAGUUGUUGGAGCUGAUAUUCCUAGAGAAAAAUAUGGCAGCUGGUGCUCACGGGGCACCCUUUGCCUUUGACAGUGGAUCAGGCAUUAUGCAGAGCACGAAGAGGAGCACGUUGUAGUCUCUGACUUCGGAAGAAGCAGACAGCAAAGGUGGUUUCCUUCCAGGUGGAGAUUGCCGAUUGGACUACGGAAUGGCGAGAAUACUGUGAAAGGAGGAGCAUAGAUAUCCAAGUGUGAUCAGUCAGCAGGUCUUGGCCAGGAGCAUACACGGAAUAAACAAAUAAAUAAGUAAAGAGAGGAAGGGGAAGUAAUAUUAGGACUGUUCAAGACUUGGAAUACAGCUCUCCUAAAAAGCAGUCCUUUGAAGUCUCGGGAUACUACAGAAAGAUCCCAACAACCACUGAGCCUGGUUUCGAUUUUUGGAGGAAACACACCAGGUGAAUAAAGCAGUGUGACAUGAGAGAAAAGAGGGCGGCAAAGGUGAAUGGGAUCCCAGCCUUUCAAGGACUUGGGCAGAGCAACUGGAGGAGGUGUGAGUUCAGCCAACAGUGCUUGCUUGAUGGAUAUUCAUAGCUGACGUCAAAGUAAAUUUAAUUCUCAUCCUCAGAAGCAAGAAAGAUUCCACGACUAAGGCCAACAAUAACAUCCAGGGAGUUCGUUUCUUGAGCAACGACCAGCUCUUUGCAUAGCACGAAUUGCCAAAAAAGGCCAGCGUGGUCAUUUCUCGGCCAUGCACACCUGUGAUGUGGCAAGCCAU